UUCUGGUUUAAAUGCUGCCUCCAUCUCAUAAAUUUUGUUCCAUGCAAUAUCUUUGAACCAGGGAUGAGCUUUAAUUUGGUCUGCCCCAAGAGUACCAAGCCUAUGUUCAACAUCACAAAGCAACCUACAGAUUAGAUCCUUUGCUUCAGGUGUCAGCCUUGCCUCAUCUGGAAAUUUCAAGUGAUUUUUCCAAUGCACAAUCUUUCUGCAUGUUGUUACUGGAUCAUCAGAAUAAAAUGGAGGAUAACCAACAAGCAUCUCAUACAUUAUUGCACCUAGCGACCACCAAUCACAAUCCAUGCCAUAUCCUUUCUUCAGCAAUACUUCUGGAGCAAUAUAAUCUGGUGUACCAACUGUAGAAUAUGCUAAUUUUCUUCUGUUUAUCUGCCAAUGCUGUAGUUGUUCUCUUGGACUUUUCCAGCACCUUCCACCAGUAUCUGGGAAUCGUCCAUCAACAUCCACUGAUUCCUUCAAAUUCCCAUCAUCAAGUGCUUCAUUUUCAUUUAUGGCAUACAAAUUUGAACAAUCGAGAGGCUUGCAAAGACCAAAAUCAGAAAGCUUCAUAUGCCCAUUUUUGUCCAGCAACAAGUUAUCAGGUUUUAUAUCUCUGUCCCCUACGAAGCAUUUCUGAUUUCUUCAAUUUUUUCAUUGCAUAGAUGUUACCAGACUUCUUCUCCCGACACAACCUUACCUCUCCAAAAGCCCCUCUACCUAUAAUGGUUAAAAGGUCAAAAUCAUCAAUGCAAAUUUUGUGCCUUUUCAUUCGCAUAUAUUCUGUCUCCUUGCGCUCUAAAUCCUUUAGUAGAUUGAUUUGUUCCUCUUGAGAUGCAUCAGAAGAUGCCAACUGUUUUUCUAGCACUGAGCGCCUUUCUUUGCGUUGUUGGAUGUGCUUCAUCUGAGCCUUGUAGUGGUUCUCAAUGAAAAGCUUAGCAGCAGCCACCCUCUCCAGCGUCAAGCUUGACCCGACCUCUCCUUCCUCCUCCUCUCCGGCCAUGGGCCCCACCUCGUCGUCGUCCUCGCGUUUCUCCUCCUCCUCAUGUUGAUUAUUCUCC
rnacentral:misc_RNA from 1 species